rnacentral:rRNA from 1 species
ACGAACGCUGGCGGCGUGCUUAACACAUGCAAGUCGAACGGAAAGGCCCUGCUUUUGUGGGGUGCUCGAGUGGCGAACGGGGGAGUAACACGUGAGUAACCUGCCCUUGACUGUGGGAUAACUUUAGGAAACUGGGGCUCAUACAGGAUAGGAGCUCCUGCUGCAUGGUGGGGGUUGGAAAGUUUCGGCGGUUGGGGAUGGACUGGCGGCUUAUCAGCUUGUUGGUGGGGUGGUGGCUUACCAAGGCGUUGACGGGUAGCCGGCCUGAGAGGGUGACCGGCCACAUUGGGACUGAGAUACGGCCCAGAGUCCUACGGGAGGCAGCAGUGGGGAAUAUUGCACAAUGGGCGGAAGCCUGAUGCAGCAACGCCGCGUGCGGGAUGACGGCCUUCGGGUUGUAAACCGCCUUCGCCUGUGACGAAGCGUGUGUGACGGUAAUGGGUAAAGAAGCACCGGCUAACUACGUG